UGAGUUUAAUGGAUAUGCACU
rnacentral:miRNA from 1 species